UAGAGUAGCAAUACUUUACCAAGAGUGACGCACGGGUGCGUAACACGUAUGCAACCUACCCUUUACAGGGGUAUAGCUCGGGGAAACUCGAAUUAACACCCCAUAAUAUAAUUGAAUGGCAUCAUUUGGUUAUUAAAUCUGCGGAGGUAAAGGAUGGGCAUGCGUCUGAUUAGCUAGUUGGUAGUGUAAUGGACUACCAAGGCGAUGAUCAGUAGGGGAACUGAGAGGUUGAUCCCCCACACUGGCACUGAGAUACGGGCCAGACUCCUACGGGAGGCAGCAGUAGGGAAUAUUGGUCAAUGGGUGAGAGCCUGAACCAGCCAUGCCGCGUGCAGGAAGACGGCCUUCUGGGUUGUAAACUGCUUUUGCCAGGGGCUAAAAAGCUCAUGCGUGAGAAAUUGAAAGUACCUGGUGAAUAAGCCACGGCUAACUACGUGCCAGCAGCCGCGGUAAUACGUAGGUGGCAAGCGUUGUCCGGAUUUAUUGGGUUUAAAGGGUGCGUAGGCGGCCAUGUAAGUCAGUGCUGAAAUAUCCCGGCUUAACUGGGAGGGUGGCAUUGAUACUGCGUGGCUAGAGUACAGAUGAGGUAGGCGGAAUUGACGGUGUAGCGGUGAAAUGCUUAGAUAUCGUCAAGAACACCUAUAGCGAAGGCAGCUUACUAGGCUGUAACUGACGCUGAGGCACGAAAGUGUGGGGAUCAAACAGGAUUAGAUACCCUGGUAGUCCACACUGUAAACGUUGAUUACUCGCUGUGUGCGAUAUACAGUACGCGGCCAAGCGAAAGCGCUAAGUAAUCCACCU
rnacentral:rRNA from 1 species